rnacentral:miRNA from 1 species
AGUUUUGCAGGAUUGCAUCCGG